GGAAGUAAAAGUCGUAACAAGGUUUCCGUAGGUGAACCUGCGGAAGGAUCAUUAAUAAUGGCCUGUAUAAGAGCACUUAAUAAUCCUACCCUUUGUGAAUUUGUUGUUUGAAAUAAUUUUUUUUAAAAUUAUUGAUUGUCUUCCUGUUGAAUUGGUUGUCCUUUUGGACGGUUGAUUCGCAGGGAUAGUCAGUAAUUUUUAAAAAGACUUUUUAAAAUUAAACUUUGUGUAUUCAUUUGUCUAAAAUUAUUUUUAUAAUAAAAAACAACUUUUGACAAUGGAUCUCUUGUUCUCGCAACGAUGAAGAACGCAGCAAAAUGCGAUAAGUAGUGUGAAUUGCAGAAUACGUGAAUCAUCGAAUCUUCGAACGCAUAUUGCACUUUUUAGUUUACUAAAAAGUAUGUCUGUUUGAGUAUCAGUAAAAUAUUCUCAUAAAAACUUUUUGUUUUUAUGGUUAUGAGUGUUUUACAACGAUACAAGUGUUUCACUUUAAAUUUUUUAAAAUUUGAAUUUUUUCUAAUUUUAAAUAAAAUUGGAUAAAUUUUCCCGUAAAAAGGAAUAACCUAAACAAUUUUACUUAUUUAGAAGAAAUUUCAACCAAAGAAAAUUUAACAAAUAACUUGAUCUCAAAUCAGAUAAGAGUACCCGCUGAACUUGAGCAUAUCAAUAAGCGGAGGAAAAGAACUAACAAGAUUCCCUUAGUAACGGCGAUGAAGCGGAAGAGCUCAAAUUUGAAAUCUUCAAGGUUUACCUUGACGAAUUGUAGUUUAAAGAAGUGUUUUCUGUUGAAGUUUGGUAAAAGUUCUUUGAAUAGGACAUCAUAGAGGUGAGAAUCCGUAUUGACCAUUAUUUCAGCUGUGUGAUACACUUUCAAGAGUCGGAUUGUUUGGGAAUGCAGUCCAAAAUGGGUGGUAAAUUUCAUCUAAAGCUAAAUAUUGGCGAGAGACCGAUAGCGAACAAGUACCGUGAGGAAAGAUGAAAAGAACUUUGAAAGAGAGUUAAACAGUACGUGAAAUUGUCAAAAGGAAGCGUUUGACACCAGUGUUGUUUUCUCGAAAAUCAAUUAAAAAUGGCUGGAUUCUGUGUUGUAUUGACCUUAACAGCUUUCUUCACUUUUUUCCUGUCUUUUUAAUGCACUUUUCGUUUAACAAGUCAACAUCAGUUUCUUUUGUUGUAAAAGGGUCAUUGGAAGGUGGCUUUCUUUUCGGAGAAAGUGUUAUAGCCUUUGAUCUCUGCAAUCGGAGAGACUGAGGUCUGCAGCGUAGACUCUUCGGGUUAGAUACAUUUGUGCUAAGUUAUAGCUUUUCAUAGACAACUUGUUGACUAUGUUUAGUCUUGUAGCUACUCGCUUAUGCUAUUUUACCUACGCUUAGGAU
rnacentral:misc_RNA from 1 species